rnacentral:rRNA from 1 species
GUGAACCUGCGGAAGGAUCAUUGUCGAUACCUGUCCAAAACAGAACGACCCGUGAACCAACGAUCAUCACUUUCGG